rnacentral:rRNA from 1 species
ACGGAAGGCAGCAGUGGGGAAUAUUGGGCAAUGGGGGAAACCCUGACCCAGCAACGCCGCGUGAAGGAAGAAGGCCCUCGGGUUGUAAACUUCUUUUACCAGGGACGAAUAAUGACGGUACCUGGAGAAAAAGCAACGGCUAACUACGUGCCAGCAGCCGCGGUAAUACGUAGGUUGCAAGCGUUGUCCGGAUUUACUGGGUGUAAAGGGCGUGUAGGCGGAGCUGCAAGUCAGAUGUGAAAUCCCGGGGCUUAACCCCGGAACUGCAUUUGAAACUGUAGCCCUUGAGUAUCGGAGAGGCAAGCGGAAUUCCUAGUGUAGCGGUGAAAUGCGUAGAUAUUAGGAGGAGCACCAGUGGCGAAGGCGGCUUGCUGGACGACAACUGACGCUGAGGCGCGAAAGCGUGGGGAGCAAACAGGAUUAGAUACCCUGGUA